rnacentral:rRNA from 1 species
AAAAACGCUCAGGCGCUGUAGGAUGUGUCUGCGGCCGAUUAGGUAGACGGUGGGGUAACGGCCCACCGUGCCGAUAAUCGGUACGGGUUGUGAGAGCAAGAGCCCGGAGACGGAAUCUGAGACAAGAUUCCGGGCCCUACGGGGCGCAGCAGGCGCGAAACCUUUACACUGCACGCAAGUGCGAUAAGGGGACCCCAAGUGCGAGGGCAUAUAGUCCUCGCUUUUCUUGACUGUAAGGCGGUCGAGGAAUAAGAGCUGGGCAAGACCGGUGCCAGCCGCCGCGGUAAUACCGGCAGCUCAAGUGAUGACCGAUAUUAUUGGGCCUAAAGCGUCCGUAGCCGGCCACGAAGGUUCAUCGGGAAAUCCGCCAGCUCAACUGGCGGGCGUCCGGUGAAAACCACGUGGCUUGGGACCGGAAGGCUCGAGGGGUACGUCCGGGGUAGGAGUGAAAUCCUGUAAUCCUGGACGGACCACCGAUGGCGAAAGCACCUCGAGAAGACGGAUCCGACGGUGAGGGACGAAAGCUAGGGUCUCGAACCGGAUUAGAUACCCGGGUAGUCCUAGCUGUAAACGAUGCUCGCUAGGUGUGGCACAGGCUACGAGCCUGUGCUGUGCCGUAGGGAAGCCGAGAAGCGAGCCGCCUGGGAAGUACGUCCGCAAGGAUGAAACUUAAAGGAAUUGGCGGGGGAGCACUACAACCGGAGGAGCCUGCGGUUUAAUUGGACUCAACGCCGGACAUCUCACCAGCUCCGACUAUAGUAAUGACGGUCAGGUUGAUGACCUUACCACGACGCUAUAGAGAGGAGGUGCAUGGCCGCCGUCAGCUCGUACCGUGAGGCGUCCUGUUAAGUCAGGCAACGAGCGAGACCCGCACUUCUAAUUGCCAGCAGCAGUUUCGACUGGCUGGGUACAUUAGAAGGACUGCCGCUGCUAAAGCGGAGGAAGGAACGGGCAACGGUAGGUCAGUAUGCCCCGAAUGAGCUGGGCUACACGCGGGCUACAAUGGUCGAGACAAUGGGUUGCUAUCUCGAAAGAGAACGCUAAUCUCCUAAACUCGAUCGUAGUUCGGAUUGAGGGCUGAAACUCACCCUCCUGAAGCUGGAUUCGGUAGUAAUCGCAG